rnacentral:rRNA from 1 species
GCGGAGGAACACCGAUGGCGAAGGCAUCCCCUGGACCUGUACUGACGCUCAUGCACGAAGCGUGGGAGCAAACAGGAUUAGAUACCCUGGUAGUCCACGCCCUAAACGAUGUCAACGGUUGUUGGAGGGUUUCUUUGCCUCAGUAACGUAGCUAACGCGUGAAGUUGACCGCCUGGGAGUACGGAACCGCAAGGUUGAAACUCAAAGGAAUUGACGGGGACCCGCACAAGCGGUGGUGAUGUGGUUUAAAUUCGAUGCA